GAAGAGCAACGCCGCUGAGUGAAGAAGGUUUCGGAUCGUAAAACUCUGUUGUUAGAGAAGAACGUGUGUGAGAGUAACUGUUCAUGCAGUGACGGUAUCUAACCAGAAAGCCACGGCUAACUACGUGCCAGCAGCCGCGGUAAUACGUAGGUGCCAGCGUUGUCCGGAUUUAUUGGGCGUAAAGGGAACGCGGGCGGUUUUUUAAGUCUGAUGUGAAAGCCUUCGGCUUAACCGAAGUCAUGCAUUGGAAACUGAAAGACUUGAGUGCAGAAGAGGAGAGUGGAACUCCAUGUGUAGCGGUGAAAUGCGUAGAUAUAUGGAAGAACACCAGUGGCGAAGCGGCUCUCUGGUCUGUAACUGACGCUGAGGUUCGAAAGUGUGGGUAGCAAACAGGAUUAGAUACCCUGGUAGUCCACACCGUAAACGAUGAAUGCUAAGUGUUGGAGGGUUUCCGCCCUUCGGUGCUGCAGCUAACGCAUUAAGCAUUCCGCCUGGGGAGUACGACCGCAAGGUUGAAACUCAAAGGAAUUGACGGGGGCCCGCACAAGCGGUGGAGCAUGUGGUUUAAUUCGAAGCAACGCGAAGAACCUUACCAGGUCUUGACAUCUUCUGACAGCCUAAGAGAUUAGGUGUUCCCUUCGGGGACAGAAUGACAGGUGGUGCAUGGUUGUCGUCAGCUCGUGUCGUGAGAUGUUGGGUUAAGUCCCGCAACGAGCGCAACCCUUAUUAUUAGUUGCCAGCAUUAAGUUGGGCACUCUAGUGAGACUGCCGGUGACAAACCGGAGGAAGGUGGGGAUGACGUCAAAUCAUCAUGCCCCUUAUGACCUGGGCUACACACGUGCUACAAUGGACGGUACAACGAGUCGCGAAACCGCGAGGUUUAGCUAAUCUCUUAAAGCCGUUCUCAGUUCGGAUUGUAGGCUGCAACUCGCCUACAUGAAGUCGGAAUCGCUAGUAAUCGCGGAUCAGCAUGCCGCGGUGAAUACGUCCCGCCUU
rnacentral:rRNA from 1 species